rnacentral:rRNA from 1 species
UACGUAGGGCGCAAGCGUUGUCCGGAAUUAUUGGGCGUAAAGAGCUCGUAGGCGGCCAGUUGCGUCCGCUGUGAAAUCCCGGGGCUUAACCCCGGGCGUGCAGUGGAUACGGGCUGGCUAGAGGCAGGCAGGGGAGAACGGGAAUUCCCGGUGUCAGCGGUGAAAUGCGCAGAUAUCGGGAGGAACACCGGUGGCGAAGGCGGUUCUCUGGGCCUGUACUGACGCUGAGGAGCGAAAGCGUGGGGAGCAAACAGG